rnacentral:rRNA from 1 species
GGAAUCUUCCGCAAUGGACGCAAGUCUGACGGAGCAACGCCGCGUGAGUGAAGAAGGUUUUCGGAUCGUAAAGCUCUGUUGCCAGGGAAGAACGACCUUGGGAGUAACUGCCCAAGGAGUGACGGUACCUGAGAAGAAAGCCCCGGCUAACUACGUGCCAGCAGCCGCGGUAAUACGUAGGGGGCAAGCGUUGUCCGGAAUUAUUGGGCGUAAAGCGCGCGCAGGCGGUUGAUUAAGUCUGGUGUAUAAACUUGGGGCUCAACCCUGAGAGGCAUUGGAAACUGGUUAACUUGAGUGCAGGAGAGGGGAGUGGAAUUCCACGUGUAGCGGUGAAAUGCGUAGAGAUGUGGAGGAACACCAGUGGCGAAGGCGACUCUCUGGCCUGUAACUGACGCUGAGGCGCGAAAGCGUGGGGAGCAAA